UAUGUUCCUCUAGAAUCAAACACGUGGAGAAGGCGAAUGAGGCUCUGGCCAUCGAUCUCCUGCUGGUGACGGACGAGCUGUUUAGACAUCAGGACGUGCCGACGCGAAGCCGUUAUGUGAGACUUGUGGAUAGUGUGAAGGAGAACGGGGGAACUGUAAGGAUAUUCUCCAGCCUCCAUGUCUCAGGAGAGCGUAAGUGGCCUGCAGUCA